CCUACGGGAGGCAGCAGUGGGGAAUAUUGCACAAUGGGGGGAACCCUGAUGCAGCGACGCCGCGUGGGUGAGGAAGUACUUCGGUAUUUUAAGCCCUAUCAGUAGGGAGGAAAAUGACGGUACCUGACUAAGAAGCACCGGCUAACUACGUGCCAGCAGCCGCGGUACUACGGAGGGGGCAAGCGUUAUCCGGAUUUACUGGGUGUAAAGGGAGCGUAGACGGCGUGCCAAGUCUGGGGUGAAAGGCCGGGGCUCAACCCCGGGACUGCAUUUGAAACUGGCAUGCUGGAGUGCCGGAGGGGCAAGCGGAAUUCCUAGUGUAGCGGUGAAAGGCGUAGAGAUUAGGAGGAACACCGGUGGCGAAGGCGGCUUGCUGGACGGUAACUGACGUUGAGGCUCGAAAGCGUGGGGAGCAAACAGGAUUAGAUACCCCAGUAGUC
rnacentral:rRNA from 1 species